CCAAUAGCGUAUAUUAAAGUUGUUGCAGUUAAAAAGCUCGUAGUUGAAUUUCGGGAUUAGUAGAUUGGUCGUGCCACUGGUAUGUACUGGUCUUACUGAUUCCUCCUUCCUGAUGAACCGUAAUGCCAUUAAUUUGGUGUUGCGGGGAGACUGGACUGUUACUUUGAAAAAAUUAGAGUGUUUAAAGCAGGCUUACGCUGGAAUCAAUUAGCAUGGAAUAAUGAAAUAGGACGAUCGAUCCUAUUUUGUUAGUUUCUAGGAUUGACGUAAUGAUUAAUAGGGAUAGUUGGGGGCAUUAGUAUUCAAUUGUCAGAGGUGAAAUUCUUGGAUUUAUUGAAGACUAACUACUGCGAAAGCAUUUGCCAAGGAUGUUUUCAUUAAUCAAGAACGAAAGUUAGGGGAUCGAAGACGAUCAGAUACCGUCGUAGUCUUAACCAUAAACUAUGCCGACUAGGGAUCGGAUGAUGUUAAUUUUAUAAUGACUCAUUCGGCGCCUUACG
rnacentral:rRNA from 1 species